UGAGUUGGUGCCUUCGGGAACCGAGUGACAGGUGCUGCAUAGCUAUCAUCAGCUCGUGUCGUGAGAUGUUGGGUUAAGUCCCGUAACGAGCGCAACCCUCGUCCUUAGUUGCCAUCAGUUCGGCUGGGAACUCUAAGGAGACUGCCGGUGACAAACCGGAGGAAGGUGGGGAUGACGUCAAGUCAUCAUGGCCCUUAUGGGCAGGGCUACACACGUGCUACAAUGGACGGUACAGAGGAUGGCCAAGCCACGAGGUGGAGCUAAUCCCGAAAAACCGUUCGUAGUCCGGAUUGCAGUCUGCAACUCGACUGCAUGAAGUCGGAAUCGCUAGUAAUCGCGGAUCAGAAUGCCGCGGUGAAUACGUUCCCGGGCCUUGUACACACCG
rnacentral:rRNA from 1 species